GAUCCUGGCUCAGGACGAACGCUGGCGGCGCGCCUAACACAUGCAAGUCGAACGGAGUUAUUUUGGCAGAAGCCUUCGGGCAGACGCUGAUAUAACUUAGUGGCGAACGGGUGAGUAACACGUGAGUAACCCGCCCUUCAGAGGGGGGCAACAGUUGGAAACGACUGCUAAUACCGCAUAAGACCACGGUGUGGCAUCACACAGAGGUCAAAGGAGAAAUCCGCUGAAGGAUGGGCUCGCGU
rnacentral:rRNA from 1 species